rnacentral:lncRNA from 1 species
CACAGGGUUACGCAGUGUCCAUUGACACCUACAGUUUAGAGUGCAUCCCAGAGAAUUACAAACAUGCCUUCAAUGAAAAUGUUGCCAUUAUGAAGAAGAUAUGGAAGCAUCUAAAGCGAGUUAAUUAUAAUACACUACCUCAUGAUCUGAAGCAGAAAGAUGAGGAAGACUUAAUGAUUCUGGACUUCCUACCAAUGAGGAAAUCUGUAGCUCGGGUUGUAACCGAGCAUCUAGUAAGAAUGCAGAA